rnacentral:rRNA from 1 species
CGGGGAGGGUCAUUGGAAACUGGGAAACUUGAGUGCAGAAGAGGAGAGUGGAAUUCCACGUGUAGCGGUGAAAUGCGUAGAGAUGUGGAGGAACACCAGUGGCGAAGGCGACUCUCUGGUCUGUAACUGACGCUGAGGAGCGAAAGCGUGGGGAGCGAACAGGAUUAGAUACCCUGGUAGUCCACGCCGUAAACGAUGAGUGCUAAGUGUUAGGGGGUUUCCGCCCCUAGUGCUGCAGCUAACGCAUUAAGCACUCCGCCUGGGGAGUACGGUCGCAAGACUGAAACUCAAAGGAAUUGACGGGGGUCGCACAAGCGGUGGAGCAUGUGGUUUAAUUCGAAGCAACGCGAAGAACCUUACCAGGUCUUGACAUCCUCGACAACCUAGAGAUAGGGCUUCCCUUCGGGGACAGAGUGACAGGUGGUG